GCUUGGGUAGCUCAGAUGGUAGAGCACUUGCCUGCGGCGCUACGGUCGCAGGUUCGAAUCCUGCCUCGGGCA